CUGUGUGUGAUGGGCUGGCAGUGUAUUGUUAGCUGGUCGGUGUGUGGAUGACAUCAGCUAACAUGCAACUGCUACCUCAUUGCACGUACG
rnacentral:pre_miRNA from 1 species